rnacentral:lncRNA from 1 species
GCAUUCUUCUCUUUUCUGCUUGCUCUUUUUGGGGUGGAGUUCCCAGUGUAUCAAAGUUGAUUUCUUUCCGUGGUGUAGGUUGUUUUGUCUGAAUUUUAGGGUGAUGCUGUUUUUUUUCUCUCUUUCUUACCUUUUGUUUUAUGGUUGUUGUUUCUCUAAUGAACCUCUGGUGCGCUUGUUUGCUUUGUUAUAUUUUUUGGUGUUUUUUUUUCUCUGCGCUUAUUUGCUUUGUUAUUU